UAAGAAAGGAGAAAUUAAAGGGUUGAAAAAAGAAGAAAAAUUGUACAUAUAUGGUAUAGAGGAGCGUCGAGUAGGUUGUCAACCUGUAGUACUCAGCCAAUGAGGAAACAGGGGACGUGAUCAGGUGUCGGGUAGUAUGGAAUAAAAGGUUAUGAUUUGUUUACUAAAAUGCACUCCUAAUUGGCAGGACGCCCGCCAUUGCAAUCGCGAAUAAAAUAGCUUCACAGAAGAUCCUGUCUGAAGAAAAUUAUUUGAGAUGUUUCUCAAAAUUUGGGGGCUCGUCCGGGAUCUUGUCACCUACCGAAGAGUUCUUGCCACCACAGACAGGAAGGUGCACCCCGCUGAUUUCAGCGGUCCCGUUUGGGGUGGUGGGUUGUCUUGGUAUGGCCAGCAAAGGACCGAGACUGUUAGUCUGAAGACAGGCUUUGCGAAGCUCUGGGGAGAAGGGAGGCCAGCACAAACAUACACAGACACAGCCCAGAGAUAGUCCAGCCCAGAUCGGGAACAGGCACAGGAAUUACUACUGCUGAUAACCCGGACCAGGAAGCCGUGCACAGACCGAGGACCCGUGGAGAUUGGGAUCUGAUGCAAACUGCAGAAUCGAAGCUGCAACCUGAGUGGAACGGACUGUUCCAAGUGCUCCUGACUACUGAAACAACAGUAAGAACGGCUGAGAGAGGGUGGACUCAUUCCUGGGUAAAAGCAUCAGUUAACCCUGAUACCUGAGAGACUGCAUUAACAACGACUUUUAAGACUAUGAAAUAACAGUAUAGCACGGUGAAGACUAACACCUGAACAAAAUAUAGUUCACAGAAUCACACGUUGAAGACCUAAGGUCACAGAGGAAAGAGCAGAAGUACACAAACCAUCCUUACCUGGGCUUCUCUGACAAGCUGAGAAGAAUCAGGCAGGCAGAAACCAAUGGGUAAUCCAACCUUCGAAGAGGUUUUAAAUUUGUCUCCUAUCUUAAAUGGGACGUCGUCGAGAUAACUGAAAGGCCCUAAGAUCACAAGAAGAAAUUGUAUCAAGAACCUUACAAAUUUGAUGCAUUCAGUUAAAUCUCAUGUUUCUGUAUUUGGCAGCUACUCUUUCUCUGCUACCCCAACCACACAAUGUGACUCAAUACAAAGGAAGUUGAGUGAUAAGAAACACACUGAAUAUGCCUGGACUUCAUUGCUUCAGUUUUAUUAUUUUUAAAAGAAUAUUCUAGUCCAUAACUAUAUUUUAAAACACUCCAAUUGCUAAGCAGAUUUUGAAGUUAAUAUUCCAGCAUCUUAGCUUCCCUCAUGACAACACUAUGCCUACACAACCAGAAAUUGAAGCUCUCCUGAAUGUUGCGUUCUGUUAUGCCUCUAUAGAAGGAGCCAUCAGUUUUUGUUAUAUUCAAAGCAAGUUUUAAAAUGACCCAGCUCUAGAGCAGCUAAGAAACAAAAAAAGUUUUGACAUACAAGUGGAAAGUAACAUUUGGACAGAAGUGGUCACAAGGACAAAGUGGCCAAGUCCAGGAGAUCCGCUUUAAACAAAACACAGUGAAAUAGCUCAAGAAUAUUCAGUGUAGCAAUUCUGACUUUUCAAACAAGGCAAUCUAACUGGAUCCAGUCUGAUUUGUGAUCACUCCAGUGAGGGGCCACAAACUUAUUCCAUGGUCCUCCAUCUGUGCUUUACAUCUGUCACUUACGUGUAUCAUUUAUAGUGUUUUAGGACAAAAACUUUUCAAGCACCCUGCAAGCUCACUAGGCAGAAUCACCAACAACUCAAGCUCCUCCAAGAAGCCAGACUAAAGUUGUUGUUUUUUCCAUGAGCUGCUGUGAAGAAGUGUGAGAAAACCCAUAACGUAAAUUGUAGCCAGUUUCUAGAUUAACUGGUCUAACCUUUUGGAAUUACAGGCAAGGUUUUUGACUGUAUAUUACUAGACAAAAACUUCAAAUUGUUAUUAUCAUUUGGAACUUUGCUCUGAAUGCUACAGAUCCGACAAGACAUUAGUGGCAACAUGAGAUGUUUGGUGACUAACCUCUUGCUCAGUGAGCUGUGACUUGCCAUUUUUAUCUGACCCAUUUUCAUACUUGGAUGACAGUUUAAAUACUAUUUGUGCUCCUUCACUGUUGACUAAUUUACAAUAACACAGCCAAAAGCUCCAAGAGGACAAGCAGCUUUUGAGAACAGGAAUAUCCUGUUAAUUUGGAAUCAAAUGUUUAUGUGCUGUCAUCAGUUGACCUCUCAUGCUAUAAACUGCAUCGGCUGGUCCCAGAGCCCUGUUGGGCCUGAAUAAAGGAGCUGGAUCACCCUGACAGGCUGAAUGGUAACACAAGCCCAAAUGGACCCUGAAAGCGGGCCCAACCCCUUGAUUGAAGGUGUUUGCCUAUUAUGAUCCAGCUACGUGGGCAGAAGAUGGAUCCUGGGGCUAUAGGACCCCAGUAUAUAUACUUAAUAGAAUAAUUAGGUUACAAGCUGUAAUAGAAA